rnacentral:tRNA from 1 species
GGGGGACUGGCGCAACGGUAGCGCGUCGGAUUCCAGACCCGAAGGGUGUCCGUUCGAAUCGGGCGUUCCUCA